rfam:Gossypium hirsutum cultivar TM-1 chromosome 12, whole genome shotgun sequence
UCUAUUCCUUUGGCUUUGGGCUUUUCUUAUGCAGUUUAGGUGGAAAAUAAAGAAGGCCUCCUUUCGGGGGGGCCAUCAGUGAGAUACCACUCUGAAAGAGUUAAAAUUCUAAUUUUGUGUCAGGACCUACGGGCCAAGGGACAGUCUCAGGUAGACAGUUUCUAUGGGGCAUAGGCCUCCCAAAAGGUAACGGAGGCGUGCAAAGGUUUCCUCGGGCCGGGCGGAGAAUGACCCUCGAGUGCAAAGGUAGAAGGGAGCUUGAUUGCAAGACCCAUCCGUCGCAAAAUUAUUUUUGCUUUACCUCUGUCUAUGUCGUC